UACGUAGGGUGCAAGCGUUGUCCGGAAUUAUUGGGCGUAAAGAGCUCGUAGGCGGUUUGUCGCGUCUGCUGUGAAAACUCGGGGCUUAACUCCGGCCUGCAGUGGGUACGGGCAGACUAGAGUGCGGUAGGGGAGACUGGAAUUCCUGGUGUAGCGGUGAAAUGCGCAGAUAUCAGGAGGAACACCGGUGGCGAAGGCGGGUCUCUGGGCCGUAACUGACGCUGAGGAGCGAAAGCGUGGGGAGCGAACAG
rnacentral:rRNA from 1 species